AAAAUACAAAGAGCAGGAUAAGCUGGGUGAAGGAGGCUUUGGGACUGUCUUCUUUGGAAAACGCAGAGAAGACAAUUUCCCAGUGGUGAUUAAGCAUGUUGCUCAUGUUUUAGUCAGCUACCAACCAGUGCUUCUUAAUGGUAAAAUGACCAAGAUUCCCAAGGAGGUGGCAUUGCUAAUAAAAGUGGGGGCAGGACCAGAGGCUACAAGCAGCAAUGUGACCCCCAUUUUAAUCGACUGGUAUGACUUGGAAGACGAACUCAUUAUGGUCUUUGAAAGGCCAAAGAAAACAUAGACUUGGAAGCCUACCUGGCAAACAGAAGAACCUUUGUGCACGAGAGGGAGGUUAAGGUCAUAAUGAGACAGCUGGUACAUGCAGCCGCUGAAAUGCAAUCCAAGGGUGUCUUCCAUCGAGACAUUAAGCCAGACAAUAUUGUGUGUGACACAUCGCCUGAUCAUCCAGCAUUUCAAUGUGUCAGAUUCAUCGAUUUUGGCAUUGGAGUCACUUUUACACCAGAAGCAAUCACACGAAGAAAUGGGACCAAAUCACCUGCUCCAAACUGGCAGGACUUUAAUGCCACCACAGCAGACUGCGUCACAGUUUUGCAGCUGGGUACGGUGAUGGAUUGGCUGGUACGUCACAUCAUCCCUGAUGACAACAACACAUCUGAGAUGCGCACUGACAUUUCAGAGGAUUGCAAGUGUUUUCUGUUGGGUUGUUACUGUCAGAGCCAUGAAGACCGUCUCACCCUAGAGGAAGUUCAGAAUCAUCCCUGGCUCAAAUGACGUACUGAUGCCAAGUAAAACAGGGUUACAGAGCAGCAGCUCUAACAAAGAAGUAUUCGGUCACAUUCAAAAGCUAUGGCACAUAGCUGUCCAUGUUUUUAUCAUUGCUAUCAUUUUUACAGGGCCCGCCCCUCUGGAAGCACCCCACAAGAGCAAGUGGACCAUGAGAUCGCAGUGGAACUUCCACCCGGUCUUUAGUCUUGUUGCCAUUGUAUUUUCCAUACAUUUCCCACCCACCCCCAGCAAUCCGUGGAAAGGGGAUCUCUCUCUGAAUUGCCUUUCCCGAGGUUUCUUCUCAAGUUUUUGAGGAGUUUUUCCUCGUCUUCUUAGAGAGCUUGUGCUGGGUUAAAAACUGUUGCUACUAUCAGCCUGAGUUAUGAAUACAGUUGUGGCCUAAUGUUUUGUCAGUGGUACAAAAUUUGCUUUUGCGCACUUUGCCACUUCAGUCUGUAUUUAGAGCCACAACUGUAUACACAACAGACCGAACAUGCUCAGCUUUGCCAAAGCUAGCAGGAAUUGGAGUUUAAUUUGAUCAAUUAAUUAUUUAUGAAUCAAUUUAACAAACAAAUGGGCAAAUGUAAAGAAAUGUAUCAAUCAGGGAAUUAGUAGCAACAUUAAUUGGACAAUCUAAAUUUAUUGGUUGAUUAUUAAAUGAAUCUGGAUAACUCA